GAUGAACGCUGGCGGCGUGCCUAACACAUGCAAGUCGAACGAUUAAGGCGCCUUCGGGCGCGAAUAGAGUGGCGAACGGGUGAGUAACACGUGACCAACCUGCCCCCCUCCCCGGGAUAACGCGAGGAAACCCGCGCUAAUACCGGAUACUCCGCCCCUCCCGCAUGGGAGGGGCGGGAAAGCCCCGACGGAGGGGGAUGGGGUCGCGGCCCAUUAGGUAGACGGCGGGGCAACGGCCCACCGUGCCUGCGAUGGGUAGCCGGGUUGAGAGACCGACCGGCCACAUUGGGACUGAGAUACGGCCCAGACUCCUACGGGAGGCAGCAGUGGGGAAUUUUGCGCAAUGGGGGGAACCCUGACGCAGCAACGCCGCGUGCGGGACGAAGGCCUUCGGGUUGUAAACCGCUU
rnacentral:rRNA from 1 species